rnacentral:rRNA from 1 species
GACGAACUCUGGCGGCGUGCUUAACACAUGCAAGUCGAACGGUAAGGCUCCAGCUUGCUGGGGUACACGAGUGGCGAACGGGUGAGUAACACGUGGGUGACCUGCCCUGCACUUCGGGAUAAGCCUGGGAAACUGGGUCUAAUACCGGAUAGGACCGCACCGUGAGGGUGUGGUGGAAAGUUUUUUCGGUGUGGGAUGGGCCCGCGGCCUAUCAGCUUGUUGGUGGGGUAAUGGCCUACCAAGGCGGCGACGGGUAGCCGGCCUGAGAGGGUGGACGGCCACAUUGGGACUGAGACACGGCCCAGACUCCUACGGGAGGCAGCAGUGGGGAAUAUUGCACAAUGGGCGGAAGCCUGAUGCAGCGACGCCGCGUGGGGGAUGACGGCCUUCGGGUUGUAAACUCCUUUCACCAUCGACGAAGGGUUUCUGACGGUAGAUGGAGAAGAAGCACCGGCUAACUACGUGCCAGCAGCCGCGGUAAUACGUAGGGUGCGAGCGUUGUCCGGAAUUACUGGGCGUAAAGAGCUCGUAGGUGGUUUGUCGCGUCGUCUGUGAAAUUCCGGGGCUUAACUCCGGGCGUGCAGACGAUACGGGCAUAACUUGAGUACUGUAGGGGAGACUGGAAUUCCUGGUGUAGCGGUGAAAUGCGCAGAUAUCAGGAGGAACACCGGUGGCGAAGGCGGGUCUCUGGGCAGUAACUGACGCUGAGGAGCGAAAGCAUGGGGAGCGAACAGGAUUAGAUACCCUGGUAGUCCAUGCCGUAAACGGUGGGCGCUAGGUGUGGGUUUCCUUCCACGGGAUCCGUGCCGUAGCUAACGCAUUAAGCGCCCCGCCUGGGGAGUACGGCCGCAAGGCUAAAACUCAAAGGAAUUGACGGGGGCCCGCACAAGCGGCGGAGCAUGUGGAUUAAUUCGAUGCAACGCGAAGAACCUUACCUGGGCUUGACAUAUACAGGAUCGCGCCAGAGAUGGUGUUUCCCUUGUGGCUUGUAUACAGGUGGUGCAUGGUUGUCGUCAGCUCGUGUCGUGAGAUGUUGGGUUAAGUCCCGCAACGAGCGCAACCCUUGUCUUAUGUUGCCAGCACGUUGUGGUGGGGACUCGUAAGAAACUGCCGGGGUUAACUCGGAGGAAGGUGGGGAUGACGUCAAAUCAUCAUGCCCCUUAUGUCCAGGGCUUCACACAUGCUACAAUGGUCGGUACAGUGGGUUGCCAGUCCGUGAGGGCGAGCUAAUCCCGCAAAGCCGGUCUCAGUUCGGAUCGGGGUCUGCAACUCGACCCCGUGAAGUCGGAGUCGCUAGUAAUCGCAGAUCAGCAACGCUGCGGUGAAUACGUUCCCGGGCCU